rnacentral:rRNA from 1 species
AGAGUUUGAUCAUGGCUCAGAUUGAACGCUGGCGGCAUGCCUUACACAUGCAAGUCGAACGGCAGCACGGGAGCAAUCCUGGUGGCGAGUGGCGAACGGGUGAGUAAUAUAUCGGAACGUGCCCAGUAGUGGGGGAUAGCCCGGCGAAAGCCGGAUUAAUACCGCAUACGACCUACGGGUGAAAGCGGGGGAUCGCAAGACCUCGCGCUAUUGGAGCGGCCGAUAUCAGAUUAGCUUGUUGGUGGGGUAAAAGCCUACCAAGGCGACGAUCUGUAGCUGGUCUGAGAGGACGACCAGCCACACUGGGACUGAGACACGGCCCAGACUCCUACGGGAGGCAGCAGUGGGGAAUUUUGGACAAUGGGCGCAAGCCUGAUCCAGCCAUGCCGCGUGCGGGAAGAAGGCCUUCGGGUUGUAAACCGCUUUUGUCAGGGAAGAAACGGUCUGAACUAAUACUUUGGACUAAUGACGGUACCUGAAGAAUAAGCACCGGCUAACUACGUGCCAGCAGCCGCGGUAAUACGUAGGGUGCAAGCGUUAAUCGGAAUUACUGGGCGUAAAGCGUGCGCAGGCGGCUUUGCAAGACAGAUGUGAAAUCCCCGGGCUCAACCUGGGAACUGCAUUUGUGACUGCAUGGCUAGAGUACGGUAGAGGGGGAUGGAAUUCCGCGUAGCAGUGAAAUGCGUAGAUAUGCGGAGGAACACCGAUGGCGAAGGCAAUCCCCUGGACCUGUACUGACGCUCAUGCACGAAAGCGUGGGGAGCAAACAGGAUUAGAUACCCUAGUAGUCC